GGGUGGAUCCGCAAGUCGGCCCGGGGAAUUCAACUUGCCGUUUGGGCUGCGGACGUCUUGUCAGGGAUCCGUAAAGACCCGCUGGGCGUCCGGCAGUCGUCGGCGAGUGCACUUUCCUUGGGUAGAGCGCCACGACCGGUUUCGGAGCGGUCAUAAGCCGGCUGGGAAGGUGACUUCCUCCUUGGAGGAAGUGUUAUAGCCCGGCCAGGUCGGCUCGUUCCGAGACCGAGGAUUUGCCGCGCCUCCCUGCCCCUGGCUCUCUUGGUGCGUUCGACUGGGGAAGCACUGCUUGCAGUUCUCUCCGACUGCGUGCCUUGAUUGGUCGGGAAGCACGAGGCGCUUCGGGUCAGUGGCGAAUCGGUCGGUCCUCCACCCGACCCGUCUUGAAACACGGACCAAGGAGUCUAACAUGUGCGCAAGUCAUGGGGUUCUGUACGAAACCUAAAGGCGCAAUGAAAGUGAAGGUCAACCUC
rnacentral:rRNA from 1 species